rnacentral:tRNA from 1 species
UAGAUAGAUGCUCGCUGGUUUGGGCGUUUAGCUGUUAACUAAAAGUUUGCAGGAUCGAGGCCUGCCUAUCUAG